UUUGAUCGACCCCAACCACAACGGCUCCCCGUCGGGCCGGCCCUGGCCGUAGGUGGCCAGCAGCGCCUGGGCCUC
rnacentral:antisense_RNA from 1 species